rnacentral:rRNA from 1 species
AUGGACGUCGUGCAAACAAUCGCCUCGGCCGCGCAGCUGGUGUCUGCAAUGGUGUCCGCGGUGGGAGCGCUGGAGCAGGCGGCCGCGGACGCCGCUGAGGCUCCAAGGAGGCUCCAGGUGCUCGAGGACUUCGUGUCGGACCUUGAGGUGUUGGUGCAGCAGGCUAAGCAGAAGCACGCGCACAAGAUGCACGGCCCGCAGCUGGAGCGCCAGUUUCAGAGCUUGAGCAGGCUCAUGGAUCAGCUCCGUGCCAAUAUCAUCAAGGCGAGGCGAGCCUUGAAGAAAGGGAAAGGGAAGGGCUUGGCUAGGGUGGUUUGGAGCUCGGUGGUGGGAGACCCCCUCAUGAAGUACAUUCAGCUGAUCAGAGAUGACCUCAACUGGUGGCUGGAAUUGCAGAAGUUGACAGAGAACGUAGGCAAAGCUAUAGCGUCUACUGCUAAGGCCACGCCAUCGUUGGUCAGAGUCAAGUCUGAGCAGGGCUAUCCAGUGUCAGAGAAGUGUGGCUAUGUUAGGGACAUUUUGGAGAGAGAUGAUGGUCAUCGAGUUGUCCUGAUUGUUGGAUUAUCUGGUAUUGGGAAGUCGUGCCUCGCUCGACAAAUAGCUUCUCAGCCGCCUGGUAAUUUUGUGGAUGGCGCAAUUGAGCUCAGUUUUGGCCGGUGGUGCAGUAGAGCAGCUUGUAAUGGAAGCAGAAGUGAGUACCAUAAACGUCUUGUUAGGAAGAUAAGCAAAUUGCUAGUGCAGAUUGGUUCCAUGACUGUCAACGAGGACACGAGCAAAGAUCUUGAAGAUGUGUGUUGCUUACUUCAGAACGCGUUGGUUGGAAAGAGUAUGUUAAUACUACUCGAUGACGUCUGGGAGCAAGACAUAGUUGAUCGCUUCACCAAGCUAUAUGGUAAUGGUUGCCGGUAUCUUGUGACAACAAGGGAUGAAGCAGUUUAUGAGAUAGCAGAAGCUGAAAAGGUAGAAAUAUCCAAAGAUGACAUCAAGAAAAUCAGCAAGGGCAUUCUUCUCUAUCAUAGUCUGCUUAGUGCUGAAGAGCUUCCGCCUGUUGCAGACGACUUGCUGGACAGUUGUGGGCACCAUCCCCUUACAGUUGCUGUCUUAGGUAAGGCCCUAAGGAAGGAGACCAGAAUGGAAAAAUGGGAGAAAGCAAUAUCCAACCUUUCCACAUAUGCAACUUGUGCACCAGGUCCAGUUUCAUAUGUGAACGAGAAAGAAGUUGAGACCACCUUGACCAUAUUUGGAUCUUUUGAGUUCAGCUUGGAAGCAAUGCCUGAAAAUUCACGAAGGUUUUUCAUGGUUCUCGCAGCUAUUUCAUGGGAAGAACCUGUUCCAGAGGCAUGCCUUGAAUCCGUCUGGUCAGCACUUGUGCAGGACAGUUUAUUCCCUAUUGUGGUUUCAAAACUAGUAGAAGGCUCACUCAUCAUCAAACUGGAAUACCAAUCGAUGUAUCAUAUGCAUGACAUGGUUUUUCUCUACCUUGAGAACAAAGCAAAUGAUGCUGCUCAUACUCUUCUGACCGAUUCAUUUCCUGAGUAUGCUGCAUUGGUGGCUCCUUGGCUUUUUAUUUUUGGCAAAGAGACCGUGAAAGGGCCAGCUGAGCAGAAGAUGAGAUCAUUCUUUUCUUUGCUAGAGUUCAUGGAGAUUGAAAUCUUACUGGGAAGCACCACCCAAGCUCUCAUGGCAUGCAAAUCAAUACCUGAAUUUGAGGCUAGCAGGCUUGGCUUUAGCAAAAUGCUUGGACCUCGAAUAGCGGAGCUAAUUUCUGUUGGGUCACAAGCUCUUAUUGUUGCUGUCACUAAAGCUAUUACAGUCGUCUUUUUCCAAGGAGACUAUGCAAAUCUCGCCCAAUCUAUUGAAACAGCAGGUUCUGUUGAUAAAUUAAUAUGUGUUCUUCGUGGCUAUGUGGAUUCUUCAUCUCUAGCCAACGUUUCUGCUGUUCUUGCCAAGGUAUCUGAGCAUGUCAGUGCCAAAACUGCCGACGAAAUUUUGUCAAGCAUUCCCAUGGACAAAAUUGCAGAACUACUGUCUCCAGAAAAUGACGAGUGGCAUGAAAUUGUGUUCACAACUCUAGCAUCACUGAUAAAAGUGGGAAAUUUAAUGGCUGUCGAGAUAAUGAUCGAAGCAGGAGUUGACAAGAAGCUCCUUGUACUUUUAGGUUGCAGUUCUGAGAUCUCACAGCAUCAUGCAAUUAUCAUGCUGAAAACUUUCUGUGAGCUUGGUGCGCCACUUAAAGAGUGCAUGGGGCCUGGACUGUUGAUUCAUUUGCCAUGGCAUGCUCGGCUUGCCUUGGAGAGGUUUGUUUUAUCUGACCAAAAUGUAGCCCCAUCACCGAAGCCUCAAUAUUUUGAGGUGCUUCUUCACAGGAUUCUACAGACAGACAGCAAAGAUAUCAUUGAAGCUAUCCAAGGUUUAUUACCUCUUGCUGAGAGGGCUAACGAUCCUAGGGUGCAAGAUCUUCUUUUGGGAAGCAAUCUGUGUGAUAGGUUGGCAUUUCUGCUGCAGCGCAGAGAACCCGAAAACAACCAAGUGAGGUCUCAGACUGCCUUUCUGGUAAUGAAAUUGGCCUGCACCGGAGCAGAGCCAUACAUCCGUAGGUUCUUGGAGCUUAAUAUUGUGCACGAGCUCAUUGCCAUGAUGCAGUCCUCUACCAAUGACCUCCAGGAUUCAGCAUACCAUGCUCUCCAUCAAAUCGUGUAUGCAAAGGGAGGAUCACUAGUCUUGCAGAGGUUUUUACAACUAGGAACUAUAGAAAAAUUGGUCAAUCUGCUCGACCGUAAGUGCGUCAAGACAAAGGACCUCACGGUGCAACUUCUGGUGGACAUUGUGGCAGUCGGAACCAAACCCUGCAUACAAAGAAUGCUCUCUUCCCAAGUCAUCGAGAAACUUGUUUCCCUUGAGAAAGCAGGUGGGUCUUUCAGCGGGUCAGUGUCAAGAUAUAUCCACGGAUUGAACAUGUGCGAGAAUAUCCAGUCUGCUGAGAGAGCAGUGAUGAAGCAGCAUAUUUUGAGGAAAGUGAGAUCGGCGGUGAGAGGGCAUGAUCUGGAGACGAGUCUAAUUGCUUCUGUGGAGGUCUGCGUUUCUGAAGGCACAAAAGGAGCCAGCAGUAGCAGGAGAAACAAGUAG